GACGAACGCUGGCGGCGUGCUUAACACAUGCAAGUCGAACGGAAAGGCCCUGCUUUUGUGGGGUGCUCGAGUGGCGAACGGGUGAGUAACACGUGAGUAACCUGCCCUUGACUUUGGGAUAACUUCAGGAAACUGGGGCUAAUACCGGAUAGGAGCUCCUGCUGCAUGGUGGGGGUUGGAAAGUUUCGGCGGUUGGGGAUGGACUCGCGGCUUAUCAGCUUGUUGUGGGGGAGUGGCUUACCAAGGCUUUGACGGGUAGCCGGCCUGAGAGGGUGACCGGCCGCAUUGGGACUGAGAUACGGCCCAGACUCCUACGGGAGGCAGCAGUGGGGAAUAUUGCACAAUGGGCGGAAGCCUGAUGCAGCAACGCCGCGUGCGGGAUGACGGCCUUCGGGUUGUAAACCGCUUUCGCCUGUGACGAAGCGUGAGUGACGGUAAUGGGUAAAGAAGCACCGGCUAACUACGUG
rnacentral:rRNA from 1 species